rnacentral:rRNA from 1 species
GACUCUCGGCAACGGAUAUCUCGGCUCUUGCAUCGAUGAAGAACGUAGCGAAAUGCGAUACCUGGUGUGAAUUGCAGAAUCCCGUGAACCAUCGAGUCUUUGAACGCAAGUUGCGCCCGAAGCCACUAGGCCGAGGGUACGCCUGCCUGGGUGUCA